GUGAGGAAUAUUGCGCAAUGGAGGCAACUCUGACGCAGCCAUGCCGCGUGCAGGAAGAAGGCGCUACGCGUUGUAAACUGCUUUUAACCGGGAAGAAACCCCAGGACGUGUCCUGGGUUGACGGUACCGGAGGAAUAAGCACCGGCUAACUUCGUGCCAGCAGCCGCGGUAAUACGAAGGGUGCAAGCGUAAUCCGGAUUCAUUGGGUUUAAAGGGUGCGUAGGCGUAGCGUUAAGUCAGUGGUGAAAUCCUGCAGCUUAACUGUAGACUUGCCAUUGAUACUGGCGCUCUUGAGUGCGCUUGAAGUGGGCGGAAUGUGCCGUGUAGCGGUGAAAUGCUUAGAUAUGGCACAGAACACCAAUUGCGAAGGCAGCUCACUAAGGCGAUACUGACGCUGAGGCACGAAAGCGUGGGGAUCGAACAGGAUUAGAAACCCUAGUAGUCC
rnacentral:rRNA from 1 species